ensembl:snRNA U2 U2 spliceosomal RNA
UCCCAGAGAUUCUGGUAUGUUGUGCUGAGGACAAAUCUUAAAUGGAUUUUUCGAGCAAGGAGAGGGAAUAGGAGCUUGCUCCAUCCACUCCACUCAUCAACUUGAUAUUGCAGUACCUCCAGGAACGGUGC